AGUGAACGCUGGCGGUAGGCCUAACACAUGCAAGUCGAACGGCAGCACAGUAAGAGCUUGCUCUUACGGGUGGCGAGUGGCGGACGGGUGAGGAAUAGAUUGGAAUCUACUUUUUCGUGGGGGAUAACGUAGGGAAACUUACGCUAAUACCGCAUAUGACCUACGGGUGAAAGCAGGGGAUCUUCGGACCUUGCGCGAUUGAAUGAGCCGAUGUCGGAUUAGCUAGUUGGUGGGGGAAUGGCCCACGAAAGCGACGAGCCGUAGCGGGUCUGAGAGAAUGAUCAGCCACACGGGAACAGAGACACGGGCCAGACUCCGACGGGAGGCAGCAGUGGGGAAUAUUGGACAAGGGGCGCAAGCCGGAUCCAGCCAUACCGCGGGGGUGAAGAAGGCCUGCGGGUUGUAAAGCCCUUUUGUUGGGAAAGAAAAGCAGCAGGUUAAUACCCCGCUGUUCUGACGGUACCCAAAGAAUAAGCACCGGCAAACUUCGG
rnacentral:rRNA from 1 species